rnacentral:rRNA from 1 species
CUUUUUGUAUUAAUAUAAGGUCGUGCCUGCCCACUGAAAGUGUUUGAAGGGCCGCGGUAUAUAUAACCGUGCUAAGGUAGCAUAAUCAUUAGUCUUUUAAUUGGGGGCUGGAAUGAAUGGUUUGACGAAAUAAUAACUGUCUCUGGAUUAAUAAUUGAAUUUUAUUUUUGAGUUAAAAAGCUUAAAUGUUAGUGGGGGACGAGAAGACCCUAUAGAUCUUUAUAAAUGCUGUUGUUUUGUUCUUUUUAGUUUAAUGUUGAACAAAUUUAAGGGUAUUUAUUUCAUUGGGGUGAUGUUAGAAUAUAAAAACUUCUUUUUUUUUUACUAUGAUGAUUGAAUAUAAGUGAUCCUGUAUUAUGGAAUGAAGAUUAAGAUACCUUAGGGAUAACAGCGUUAUUUUAUUGGAGAGUUCUUAUCGAUAAUAAAGAUUGCGACCUCGAUGUUGGAUUAAGAAUAUAAUUGGGUGUAGAAGCUUAUAUUAUUGGUCUGUUC